rnacentral:rRNA from 1 species
GGAUGAACGCUAGCGGCAGGCUUAAUACAUGCAAGUCCAACGGUUACAGCAAUGUGACGAGUGGCGCACGGGUGAGUAACGCGUACAUAACAUACCUUUAACUGGCGAAUAGCCUUGGGAAACUGAGAGUAAUACGCCAUAACAUUGUAGCUUGGCAUCAGGCAGCAAUUAAAGUUCCGGCGGUUAGAGAUUGAUGUGCGUUGGAUUAGAUAGUUGGUGAGGUAACGGCUCACCAAGUCAACGAUCCAUAGGGGGCGUGAGAGCGUGGUCCCCCACACGGGUACUGAGACACGGACCCGACUCCUACGGGAGGCAGCAGUAAGGAAUAUUGGUCAAUGGGGGCAACCCUGAACCAGCCAUGCCGCGUGCGGGAUGAAGGCGUUCUGCGUCGUAAACCGCUUUUAGAGGGGAAUAAAUCCCGAUACGUGUAUCGGACUGAAGGUACCCUCGGAAUAAGCACCGGCUAACUCCGUGCCAGCAGCCGCGGUAAUACGGAGGGUGCAAGCGUUAUCCGGAAUCACUGGGUUUAAAGGGUGCGUAG